rnacentral:rRNA from 1 species
UAGAGUUUGAUCAUGGCUCAGAUUGAACGCUGGCGGCAGGCCUAACACAUGCAAGUCGAGCGGAAACGACAUUAUUGAAUCUUCGGAGGAUUUAAUGGGCGUCGAGCGGCGGACGGGUGAGUAAUGCCUAGGAAAUUGCCUUGAUGUGGGGGAUAACCAUUGGAAACGAUGGCUAAUACCGCAUAAUGCCUACGGGCCAAAGAGGGGGACCUUCGGGCCUCUCGCGUCAAGAUAUGCCUAGGUGGGAUUAGCUAGUUGGUGAGGUAAUGGCUCACCAAGGCGACGAUCCCUAGCUGGUCUGAGAGGAUGAUCAGCCACACUGGAACUGAGACACGGUCCAGACUCCUACGGGAGGCAGCAGUGGGGAAUAUUGCACAAUGGGCGAAAGCCUGAUGCAGCCAUGCCGCGUGUAUGAAGAAGGCCUUCGGGUUGUAAAGUACUUUCAGUUGUGAGGAAGGGUGUGUAGUUAAUAGCUGCGCAUCUUGACGUUAGCAACAGAAGAAGCACCGGCUAACUCCGUGCCAGCAGCCGCGGUAAUACGGAGGGUGCGAGCGUUAAUCGGAAUUACUGGGCGUAAAGCGCAUGCAGGUGGUUCAUUAAGUCAGAUGUGAAAGCCCGGGGCUCAACCUCGGAACUGCAUUUGAAACUGGUGAACUAGAGUGCUGUAGAGGGGGGUAGAAUUUCA